GACGAACGCUGGCGGCGUGCUUAACACAUGCAAGUCGAACGGAAAGGCCCUGCUUUUGUGGGGUGCUCGAGUGGCGAACGGGUGAGUAACACGUGAGUAACCUGCCCUUGACUUUGGGAUAACUUCAGGAAACUGGGGCUACUACCGGCUAGGAGCUCCUGCUGCAUGGUGGGGGUUGGAAAGUUUCGGCGGUUGGGGAUGGACUCGCGGCUUAUCAGCUUGUUGGUGGGGUAGUGGCUUACCAAGGCUUUGACGGGUAGCCGGCCUGGGAGGGUGACCGGCGACAUUGGGACUGAGAGACGGCCCAGAGUCGUACGGGGGGCAGCGGUGGGGAAUAUGGCACAGUGAGCGGAAGCCUGAUGCAGCAGCGCCGCGUGCGGGAUGACGGCCUUCGGGUUGUAAACCGCUUUCGCCUGUGACGAAGCGUGAGUGACGGUAAUGGGUGAAGAAGCACCGGCUAACUACGUG
rnacentral:rRNA from 1 species